rnacentral:rRNA from 1 species
AUGGCUGCUAUUGUUGAAGGUCCCACUCCUAAGUAUGAGUGCUUGCUAUUUGAUUUGGAUGAUACACUGUAUCCUCUUAGUGCUGGCAUCAAUCUUGCUUGCCGCAAAAAUAUUCAAGAUUACAUGCGUGACCAUCUGCGAAUUGAAGAAAGCCAAAUUGCAGAGAUGUGCCUGGAACUUUAUAGGGAAUAUGGCACCACAAUGGCUGGUCUUAAGGCAUUAGGUUACGAGUUUGAAAACGAUGAAUUUCAUUCAAAUGUUCAUGGUAGACUGCCAUAUGACAAUCUGAGGCCUGACUCUGUUUUGAGGACCCUUCUACUUUCCAUUCCACAAAGAAAAAUAAUAUUUACAAACUCGGACAAGGUUCACGCGGAAGAGGUUCUGCGCAGGCUGGGUUUGCAGGACUGCUUUGAGGGUGUGAUAUGCUUCGAGACAUUGAAUCCACCAGCCAUGACGAGCAAUGGCCUAUGCAAGUCCCAGGAGGAUCCUAUGGCGCUCUCUGGUGAACCAUCUUCCGACUUGGACGAUCUCUACGGAUCGGAUGGCAGACCAAAAUCACCCAUCCUGUGCAAACCCACUAUUGAAUCAAUGGAAGCCGCAAUUCAGAUAGCAAAUGUUGAUCCUAAGAAGACAAUCUUCUUUGAUGACAGCACCAGGAAUAUCGCUACCGGAAAGGCUGCAGGCUUCCACACCGUGAUUGUUGGUAGGUCAACACUCGUUCCAGGGGCUGAUCAUGCACUGGAGAGCAUCCACAACAUCAAGGAGGCGUUGCCCGAGAUAUGGGAAGUCCACGACUGGUCAGAAUUUGACGCUGUUCCUGCUUCUGCCGCGGUAGAAACAUCGGUUAUUGCUUGA